rnacentral:piRNA from 1 species
AAGCAUCCAGGCCAUUUUUCUGA